CGCCCACUGGUCCGCGGGGUGGGGCCUCGGAAGUCGAGCGUGGAGGCUGAGUGGCUGCUUGCGCCGAGGGGAGCGCCGACUCCGUUUCCCGCGCGUCCCCGGGAGGCCUGGGGAACAGCUGGGCGUCGGGGCCCCGGGAAGGGAGCGGAAGUCAGCGCCGAAGCCGCGGAAGGAAAGGAGGCUGGUGGACGCCCUGCAGCCCAGGUUUAGUUGUGCUCCUGCCUCUGAAACGCGGGCGUGAGACUGGAGUGUGGCCGUGCAGCGCUUUCUGUAGAAAGCAGUGGCCUGGAGCGCACCUCGCUUCUGGUGCUCAGGUCUGAAAGGAGGGAGCUUCAUGGUCCGGGGUUCAGUGUGACUCCUCCGAUUCCCCCAGCCAACCCCUUCAAGGGGCUCCCGGUUCUGAAAGGACACAGGACUUGAAAGAUAUUUGAUGGUGCCAGAAAGGGAAGAAUGUUUGUUUAAGUUGAAGUGAAGACCUUCCUUUUCCUCAGUGGAGCCUCCCAGAUACAAAAGGUGCUUCUGAGAUGUGACCAGGGUUGAGACCCACUGAUGUAAAGGUUAUUACAAGACACUGAAUACAGUUCCCUGUGCUACAUGGUAGGACGCUGUUGUUUAUUCCAAGCUUCUAAUCAUGGCUUGGUCUUUCUAAUGACCAGCUCCCAUCCAGAAGCCCACCCAAAGUCACCUCAUUGGAACAGAAGAUACUCCUAUCAUCCAGGAAAUUCCAAGGGAUUUAGGAGCUCUGUGUCAAGAUCCAGGGUCAAAGACCAAAUAUUUGAACAAAAGAUGUACCUAGUGCUCUUGUCACUUAGGAAAUCACAAGAGUUUUAGGAGCUCUGUGCCAGGAACAGGGGUGGGGGCUGCUGGAGGGAUGGAAGGGGGAGGCAGAGAGCAGGAUAUAUAUUUUGUUAUUUCACAAGUUCCCAAAUCCCUGCCUUGCAUUUGCUUCUCUUUUUAGCUAUGGGUUCAAGUUUACAAUAGUUUGUUGGAUAUCUCCUGAAUAUCGUGUUAGCUCCUCCAACUCAACACAUCUAAAACCAGACUCAAGAUUGUCCAUCCCAUAUCCAUUCCCAUUUUUUAUAUUCCUUAUUCCAGCUUAUCUUUCCAGUUACUAAAGCUGGAAAACUUAGUCAUAUGUGAAUCAUUCUCUCUCUCCCCUCCACAGCUCAGUCAGCUGUCUGGGCAUGCUUAUUUUACUUCCUCUGCCAUGGACUCAUUUAUUAAUUUAUUCUUUUUUUUUGCUUAAAAUAAUAAUCAUGAAAUAUUUCAGGCAAACAAGGUAGUAAUAGAGAACAGUAUCAUAAUGAUAAUAUACUCAGCCUAGUUUAAGUAAACUUGCAAAUACAAAGCCCUGAGGAAAUCCAUUCAGAUCCCACCCUACUCUCCAUACCAAAGGAAAUCACCAUGUAAAAUUUAGCAUUUAUCAUUCCCAUGCAAGAUUUGUUGUUUUACUCCACAUGUAUGUAGCCACAUAUAGGAUAUAAGUUGGCAUGUUUUUAAACUUUAUAUAAACUAUGGUAUAAUGUUUAUCCUGCUAUAACUUUUUUCAAUCAUUAUUUUUGAGAUUUAUCCAUGAUGAAUCAUCUCUUUUAUUUUAAAUGUUAUUUAAUGAAAAUACCACAAUUUAUUAGCCAUUGUGCAUUAUACUGUAUAUAAUGUGUGUGCAUAUAUAGACACACAUUUGUAUAUAUAAUAAAUAUAUGUAUAUGUGUGCACAGUUGCUUUUAUUAUUUUACUCCACCUCUUGAGUUGAAAUGGAGGUAUGACAUGGUGCAGCUUAUUUACUUAUUUUCCAACUGGAGAAGUUCUAUUCCUCAAGGCAGGUAAAAACUGUUUUCAAUAUUUUCUACAGUUCAAUCCAACUUUCUCUCUGCCACUUCAUUCUUUAGUUUUUCCCAUUUUUCUUACCUCCUCUAAGUAGGCUUGCGUAUAGUUAGCUCUUUUGAGAAUAAUUGAUAGAUGUCUGGUUUAUAGGACUAAAGCAUAGAAAAAAAAAUUCCAUUAUAAGAAAGAGAUUUAAUCAUGAAAUAAAGUAUGAAUACACUUCAGGCUGAAGGUUAUUAUUGCUUAUCAUUUAAGGACACUAUACCUUAAUGGCAUCAAGUUAUUUAUUUUUAAGAAAAGUAUUACUGAAGUAUAUUUUUAAGUAUUAUUUAUAAGUAAAGCUACUUAUAAGUUUGCUAAUUUACAGCCAAUAAAAUUUAUGGCAUUCUGUAUUAUUCUAAGAAACAUAAUUAACAAGAUACUUUCUAGCAUUCUAUAUUCUUCUAAGAUUAUUAACAAGGUAGAAAUGCAUAAUCCAUUUUUUCACAGAAAAUUGCAACAACUCAGUAUGUCAGAGGACUAAGCUUACUGGACUGACAUGAAGAUGACUUCAGAAGUGUACCGGAUACUUUGAAAAUUUAGAAUAGCCUGGAUAAAGAGAAUGAGAUUCCUUGAAUUAUAAAAACAUCAGUCCUUUUAUACCAUGGUGAUAUCACUGGCGUGGAGCUUGAAAGAAAAUGAGGUCUAACUCAUUUGGGAAAGGUGAUCUUGAAAGAGGUGUGAACUAAUAUAAGGUCAAAGAAAUUUUAUCAUACAACAUUUAUGGAUUACUUCUAAUUUUUUAAAUUCAUCAUUCAUUUUUCCACAAGAUAAUUGUCUUGACAAUCUUUCUGCUUAAUAUUAAUUAAAUAUUCACGUGUUCGUUAUUGAUUAGAACAUUCAAAAUAAAUAACCCCAACACAAGCAGCUCAUAUUCUAAGAAGACUUGCUUUAAAAAUAGUCUUCCUUAUAGAUACAUAUUUUAUCCAUGUUAUUGUGUUUUCCUUUCUCUUUAUUUUUUACAUAAUGGUUAGGUGAGUCUUUUAAACUGAUCAUUUAAGAAGACUUGAUAUGCUGAUUGGUGAGACUGACAGGUGGGUUUGAAGCCUGAUUCUGCCAUUUAUUUGAAAAGGACAGUGUGCAAGUCUCAUAACCUUGCUAGCCUCAGUUUCCUCAUCCAUAAAAGGAUGAACCUAUGAUACCUCCUAGGGCUGUGAGGAUUAAAGGUGCAAACAAGUUGGCACAUAGCAAAAGCUCAAAGAUGUUACUUCUCCCCUUUGAUAGAUUAAGUAAAAGUAAGACAAGAGACGUGGCUUUUGAGGUAUAUUUUUGAGAGCAGGGAAGAUAUGAAACACGAAGGGGGUUAAGUAUACCUAGUCAAUGUCAACUAAAAUGCUUCUGAAAUAUGACAGUGAUUAUGUAAGUAGAACAAGCUUGAAGAGACUUGAAAUCCAGUGUGCACAGCUUAAAGAGAUUCAGAGGUAGGUAAAAAGGAGGGUCACAGUCAUAGAAACAAAGGUUAUGUUAAAUAGACAUUGAUUUAGGUGGAACUAUACAAAAUUGCCACCUUUUUAGAUAUAAAAUGGUUGAAUAUUGGCAAUUUUAUAUUGUUCACUUAACAGAUGUUCAGGAGGGAAGAAAGGCAGUGGGGGCUGUGAAAGAAAGAGCAAAGCCCCUCAGGUGGGGUGCAGUUAACCAGGGCUGUCACUGGUUUUAAUACAGAAUGGUUAGGCUCUUGCAGCUGUGAAUCAAACAUUAUUUAGUGGCCUCUUCUCCAUGUAGCAAAAAAGGUGAUUGAAGAUGGGUGAAAAAGUUCAUGCCACUGGGUCUAUUGGAAUCUUUGAGGCCCUUUGACAUUUACCACAGUUUCUAAAGGAUUUAAGAGAACUUAGAAAACAUACAAAGUAACAAAUACAAAAACAAAGGAAAUUGAGAAAAAGGGAAAAAAAGGGACAUCCAGAUCUCCUGCUGUGAUGUAAACAUUGGUCAGGAUAGAGCUUCCUCAAAUCAUGUUUGGAAAGGAGAAAGUAUAAAUAAUACCCAGCAGAGUGCUUCCCUUCCUGAUACACAACUGCAAUUUCUGUGUUCCUAUGUAAUGUAGCAGUAGGCGCCAUUGAGAGGCUGUCUUCUACCAAGAAAACAAGUAUCUUUUAAUUAAGAUAAACUAUGUCAAGAUUUGACUACAGUACUGGAACAGCUAAGAAAAGGUGUUCUUUCCAGAGACUAUCUUCAGCUCCAGCCUUAAGACAUUCCAUGAUAAUAACUCUUUUCAGUGCUGUCCGAGCAGGUCCUCUGAAUCUAAUUAUGCAGUAGUGAUACUUUUGGUAUAUGCAUCUCUUAAAAGCACUGCAUUAAAAGCAGAGUAGUUAGGUCUGUUAGGUUACUUUGUCCUUUCAAAAGAUUAGAUGACUUGUUUUUGCAUCUUUUCAGAAUGGACUGUGGACCAACAAAGUUUCAAUACGAUUUUUUCAUUCCAUUUUUCAGUUGGUAUCAAUGAGGAAUUGAAUUCCUGUGGCCAAGAACUUUGCUGUCUCUGGGUUGCUGGACUAAGACUUUGUACAAGGGGCAUGGAUAUAGUAUGCUUAGACCCAUAAAACACAUCCCCACUCCUAGAAAAACACC